UACGAAGGUCCCGAGCGUUGUUCGGAAUCACUGGGCGUAAAGGGAGCGUAGGCGGCGCGGUAAGUCAGAUGUGAAAUCCCGGGGCUCAACCCCGGAACUGCAUCCGAUACUGCCGUGCUAGAGGAUUGGAGAGGUAGCUGGAAUUCUUGGUGUAGCAGUGAAAUGCGUGGAUAUCAAGAGGAACACUCGUGGCGAAAGCGAGCUACUGGACAACUCCUGACGCUGAGGCACGAAGGUCAGGGGAGCAAACGGG
rnacentral:rRNA from 1 species